rnacentral:rRNA from 1 species
AUUGAACUGAAGAGUUUGAUCCUGGCUCAGAUUGAACGCUGGCGGCAUGCCUUACACAUGCAAGUCGAACGGCAGCACGGGCUUCGGCCUGGUGGCGAGUGGCGAACGGGUGAGUAAUACAUCGGAACAUGUCCUGUAGUGGGGGAUAGCCCGGCGAAAGCCGGAUUAAUACCGCAUACGAUCUGAGGAUGAAAGCGGGGGACCUUCGGGCCUCGCGCUAUAGGGUUGGCCGAUGGCUGAUUAGCUAGUUGGUGGGGUAAAGGCCUACCAAGGCGACGAUCAGUAGCUGGUCUGAGAGGACGACCAGCCACACUGGGACUGAGACACGGCCCAGACUCCUACGGGAGGCAGCAGUGGGGAAUUUUGGACAAUGGGCGCAAGCCUGAUCCAGCAAUGCCGCGUGUGUGAAGAAGGCCUUCGGGUUGUAAAGCACUU